UAUGAAGGGUGCAAGCGUUAAUCGGAAUUACUGGGCGUAAAGGGUGCGUAGGCGGUUCGUUAAGUCUGUCGUGAAAUCCCCGGGCUCAACCUGGGAAUGGCGAUGGAUACUGGCGAGCUAGAGUGUGUCAGAGGAUGGUGGAAUUCCCGGUGUAGCGGUGAAAUGCGUAGAGGUCGGGAGGAACAUCAGUGGCGAAGGCGGCCAUCUGGGACAACACUGGCGCUGAAGCACGAAAGCGUGGGGAGCAAACAGG
rnacentral:rRNA from 1 species